CGAACGCCCCCCGGCCCGUCGCCUCCCAGCACAGGACGUGGCGGAGGCGCAGCGCCAGCGCGUCCAGCCCGCGCCUCGCGAGCGGUGGGUCGCUCAUGCUGGGAUCGGUCCGGUUCGUCAACAUCGGCGGGCUGCUGUACAAGUCGACGGUCCGGAAGCUGCAGAGAGCCGUCCCCCGGCCCAGCCGCCCCGCCCCCGAGCCGAGCAGAGCGGCGGCGCCCGGCUGCAUCAGCGUGCGGGGCGCCCGAUAUCGUGUGGAGGCGGGCGGCCGG